GACAGAGGAUGCAAACGUUGCUCGGAUUUACUGGGCGUAAAGCGCGCGCAGGCGGUCCCGUAAGUCGGACGUGAAAGCCCAGGGCUCAACUCUGGAAGUGCGUCUGAUACUGCGAGACUGGAGUACUGGAGAGGAGAGCGGAAUUCCCGGUGUAGAGGUGAAAUUCGUAGAUAUUCGCAAGAACACCAGUGGCGAAGGCGGCUCACUGGCCCGGUACUGACGCUGAGGUGCGAAAGCGUGGGGAGCAAACAGG
rnacentral:rRNA from 1 species